rnacentral:rRNA from 1 species
AAUACGGAGGGGGCAAGCGUUGUUCGGAAUUACUGGGCGUAAAGGGCGCGUAGGCGGCCUUCUAAGUCAGACGUGAAAUCCCUCGGCUCAACCGGGGAACUGCGUCUGAGACUGGAAGGCUUGAAUCCGGGAGAGGGAUGUGGAAUUCCAGGUGUAGCGGUGAAAUGCGUAGAUAUCUGGAGGAACACCGGUGGCGAAGGCGGCAUCCUGGACCGGUAUUGACGCUGAGGCGCGAAAGCCAGGGGAGCAAACGGGA